rnacentral:rRNA from 1 species
AUUGAACGCUGGCGGCAUGCUUUACACAUGCAAGUCGAGCGGCAGCGCGGGGGCAACCCUGGCGGCGAGCGGCGAACGGGUGAGUAAUGCAUCGGAACGUAUCCCGCAGUGGGGGACAACCCAGCGAAAGCUGGGCUAAUACCGCAUAUGCUCUGCGGAGGAAAGUGGGGGACCCGCGAGGGCCUCACGCUGGUGGCGCGGCCGAUGUCCGAUUAGCUGGUUGGUGGGGUAACGGCUUACCAAGGCGACGAUCGGUAGCUGGUCUGAGAGGAUGAUCAGCCACACUGGGACUGAGACACGGCCCAGACUCCUACGGGAGGCAGCAGUGGGGAAUUUUGGACAAUGGGGGCAACCCUGAUCCAGCCAUGCCGCGUGCGGGAAGAAGGCCUUCGGGUUGUAAACCGCUUUUAGCUGGGAAGAAAAGGCCAUCGUUAAUACCGAUGGUUCUUGACGGUACCGGCGGAAUAAGCACCGGCUAACUACGUGCCAGCAGCCGCAGUAAAAC